AUUGAACGCUGGCGGCAUGCCUUACACAUGCAAGUCGAACGGUAACAGGUCUUCGGAUGCUGACGAGUGGCGAACGGGUGAGUAAUACAUCGGAACGUGCCCGAUCGUGGGGGACAACGAAGCGAAAGCUUUGCUAAUACCGCAUAAGAUCUACGGAUGAAAGCAGGGGACCGCAAGGCCUUGCGCGAACGGAGCGGCCGAUGGCAGAUUAGGUAGUUGGUGGGAUAAAAACUUACCAAGCCGACGAUCUGUAGCUGGUCUGAGAGGACGACCGGCCACACUGGGACUGAGACACGACCCAGACUCCUACGGGAGGCAGCAGUGGGGAAUUUUGGACAAUGGGCGAAAGCCUGAUCCAGCCAUGCCGCGUGCAGGAUGAAGGCCUUCGGGUUGUAAACUGCUUUUGUACGGAACGAAAAGACUCUUUCUAAUAAAGAGGGUCCAUGACGGUACCGUAAGAAUAAGCACCGGCUAACUACGUGCCAGCCGCCGCCGUAA
rnacentral:rRNA from 1 species